UUAUUAUUAUUAUUAUUAUUAUUAUUAUCAUCAUAUUUACCGCAUUUUGAAACGCAUAACUAAAUCGCACGCUAAAAACUCAAUUUAAACUGCUGUAAAUUGGAUUGACGCGAAACGGCGAAAGCCGUUUAUGAAUGUCGAGCACCGUUACCAGACUGCUCGUCUUGUCUUAAAAACAUAUACCUACGCACGGCGAUAAUAAUAUUACACUAUAUAUAUAUAUAUUAUAUUAAAAUGACAUUUAGUAUUCGCAUAGAUUAGGACCGUAUACUAUUAUUAUGUCUGAUAUCCGCACACCUUGACCUAUAUUAUUAUACUCGUACAUGUCUCUGGGAGCAUCGAGUUGUGUUUUUUAGGUACGCUUUUUUAUUUUUAUUCUUAUACAAUUAUUAUUAUUCUUUUUGGUAGGUACCUACCUAAUAUUAUAGGACUAUACUGCGCUCUCGCAAUUCUCCCCUUCACAACAUUUGCAUAUAAUCGUGUUCCUCGGCUAACAGCGGGGGACAACGACAAACGUUUUCACCAUUCUUAUUCGUCAAACCCCACGCAGUAGUCAUUUUUUAUAAAUUAUUUUUUUGUUCGUAAAAUGUGCGCCAUAAUACCCUUCAAACCGUUUUCGUCCACAUGGAUUGUGCUCCAAACCCGUUUUUGUGCCAAGGGGUUACCUAUUAUUUAUUCAUUAUUCACAGAGAGUUGCUUAAAAUAAAAUCGAUAUCGCUCCAGCAGAUUUGUUAUGAGAAGCGAGAACAAUACAUAGGUACUUACAACUGGCCAGUGGCUACUAUUCACACAAUGAGACGACUAUACUACCAGCAUGGCUAUUCCGAUCGGUGUCGGUGGUUUUUCGGUUUACCACACAAGUUGUUGAUGAAGAUGAUUCAUAUUGAGAUACUACUUCCGACAGCAUAAACAUCAACUUCUAUUGUCUACCGGCGAGACUUAACCAUUCAGCAUACAUCGUAGAGCAAUGAACAUUGUAUAUAAUAAUAUGCAUAUUAAGUAUCGUUUGCACUGUCAUCGAACGUGGACACAUUUACCUGUAAAAAACAAUACGAACAAUAACGAACGUGACGAUUGUGUCAUAAUUACAUAAUAAUAUGAAGAUCGCAUCUGAUCGACGAAUACGAUUAAUUACCAUUGUCGGUAUAAUAUAUUAUCAAUCGGAUGCUCGACACUAUUGGUUGACUUAACUACAAUAGACCAUAAUAUGCAGAGUUGAGUGGACCUUCGUGUUUCUCGUUUAAAAUUAUGAAAUAAAUAAUGGUAGGAAAUGUUUCAUUUCGAUUGACUGAAAAAAAGAAAACAGGAAAUCUAUGACAGUGGCGCACAGAUAGAGGAUGUGAACCGGACCUACGGAUCAACCGCAAUAACACGGUUCAGUACUAUAACAAUGGUUUGACUGCAAUGGCUGAUCGUACUUUGAAAACGGCUUCAGGUCAGGAGGUCAGCUGAUCCACAGUUAAUAUUUCCUGACUAAAUUGGCCUCUUUGUGAAUUUGCUUCUUUUCAGAUCAUGGGUUCAUGGGUAGUUAGACACUUAGACCGUUGGACCCUUUGGAUUUACUUCACAAAUAAAUAACUAAUUUACAUUUUCUCAACUCAUAAUCUACAUGUUACAUUAUAUCGUUUUAGUAGAAAGUUGAAUUAAUCAUAUUUUAUUAUGUACGACGUAUUAUCCGCGUUUAUCUGCGCCGAUAAAAUUAGAUUAUAUUUACAAAUUGAAAAUAAGUUUUAUUGCUAAAUAGUGAAUCAUAUAAACAUUAUAAUUAUAUAUUAUAUUAAUGGGUCUAUUGAUAUAGUAUUACUAGUAAUAACAUGCAAAAUUGUGUAUGCCGGUCGUGACACGCGUGUUCCCAGAAUAGAACUAAUGAAACUAUUUAUAUAUAAUCUGGAGUAAAUCCGUUAUCCGUAGUCGAAUAAUAAUGAUUCUGUGACUAUUUCUAUAACAUCGCUCGCUGUCUCUCUAGUCUUUAUCACAUAAUGAUAUGAUAUUCCUGAUUGCCAUACAAUUAAAAUAAACUAUUUAAGUCAACAGUCCAUUGUCAACAAAUAACCAAAAUUACCAUAAUAUUGUCAUCGUCGGACGUUCAUCAUGAAUGAGAGACGUGUUUUGAUUAUGUGAAUUUUAAAUUUUAACUUCAGAGUAUUGAACCAUUAGAACUGUGUCAGUCACCCUAAAAAAAAACUCGUCCGUCAGGUGGGGCGAGAACACUUAUGAAAGAAAAAGAGAAUUCUGUAAAAGGAAAUAAAAGUAUUUAUCCUUUGUUCAAUCUUCUAAAAAACAAGGUAGUAUUUUAUUGAUUAUAUAUUGUAGUGAUUAUAAUAUAUUAUAUUAAAUACUAACUACUAAGUAGUUAAUAUUUUACAAUAAUGUUUCCUUAGUUCAUUGCCCAUCGGGGAGUUUUUGUUUUAUGCAUUAGGAGAA